GUGGGGAAUAUUGGACAAUGGGGGGAACCCUGAUCCAGCCAUGCCGCGUGUGUGAAGAAGGCCUUUUGGUUGUAAAGCACUUUAAGCGAGGAGGAGGCUACCGAGAUUAAUACUCUUGGAUAGUGGACGUUACUCGCAGAAUAAGCACCGGCUAACUCUGUGCCAGCAGCCGCGGUAAUACAGAGGGUGCAAGCGUUAAUCGGAUUUACUGGGCGUAAAGCGCGCGUAGGUGGCCAAUUAAGUCAAAUGUGAAAUCCCCGAGCUUAACUUGGGAAUUGCAUUCGAUACUGGUUGGCUAGAGUAUGGGAGAGGAUGGUAGAAUGCCAGGUGUAGCGGUGAAAUGCGUAGAGAUCUGGAGGAAUACCGAUGGCGAAGGCAGCCAUCUGGCCUAAUACUGACACUGAGGUGCGAAAGCGUGGGGAGCAAACAGGAUUAGAAACCCUGGUAGUCC
rnacentral:rRNA from 1 species